GAUGAAGAACGUAGCGAAAUGCGAUAAGUAGUGUGAAUUGCAGAAUUCAGUGAAUCAUCGAAUCUUUGAACGCACAUUGCGCCCCUUGGUAUUCCAUGGGGCAUGCCUGUUCGAGCGUCAUUUGUACCUUCAAGCUUUGCUUGGUGUUGGGUGUUUGUCUCGCCUCCGCGUGUAGACUCGCCUCAAAACAAUUGGCAGCCGGCGUAUUGAUUUCGGAGCGCAGUACAUCUCGCGCUUUGCACUCACAACGACGACGUCCAAAAGUACAUUUUACACUCUUGACCUCGGAUCAGGUAGGGAUACCCGCUGAACUUAAGCAUAUCAAUAAGCGGAGGA
rnacentral:misc_RNA from 1 species